ensembl:lncRNA
ACACAGUUUAUUUGACUGGUUUUACUGCUUAAAUGUCCAUGAACCCAGAAACAGAUUAUGUUUUUCAUAAACAGAUCAUUGUGCUCCAAGUAAAUUUGAUGUUUGAGUAUCAUGUCUAAAGUUUAGAGUUAGCACUAAGACCAGGUUUAGCUUCAGAUUUAGACCACUGGUUUUGCAACUGUUCCACUAAUGUUAUUUGGUAACUAGUCCUCUUCAUAUGUCAUAGCUUGUGUAUAUUUUGAAGAACCAUAAUUCAUUGUUGUUCUCUGUUUGUUUUUGUUUUGACAGAUCUAUCUGAUCUUAGUGUGAAAAAGUCCUGUGCUAUAUUGUAAUAACAUGAACGUGUCUUUAAUGUCAUUGUUUAGUAAGACUGAUAUGAACUUAUUAAGUCUAAUCUGACUUUGUGUCGAUCUUGCUUAAUGACCCACGUUGAUCAGAACAGUGUUGGAAGUUAUUCUUUUCUGCCCCAAGACUUGUUUUUGUCCUGAAAGCUGACACUAAAUUAGGAACAAGGGUGUUCCGAUGCAAAAUGAACUAAAUCUAAAGGAAGUGCUUUCACUAAAAGGAUUUCAGGUAGUUUUUAUAUGUAUGCAGUUAUACCCAGCUGCAAAUGUUUUGCCUGACUAUUACUGCCCCUGUGGUUUUUUUUUUUUUUUUGUUGUUGUUUUUUUGCCUGAGAUAAUGACCUUUUUUAGCUUCAUUAGUGUGGAAGUUCAUACAUCAUAGUUUGUGUUUUGCUCUUUGUUUCAGACACAUUGGUAGACUUAUUUUGUUUACUUUUGCUGUCUGUGUAUUUGGUGUGUUGGAAGUCUAUGCAAAUAAUGAUUAAUAAAUAAAAUACACAUAAUCUAAAAGCUUACUGUGAUGUAGGCUCAAAAUAUAUCAACCUGGUAGAUAUCUAAGAGCUAACAUGAUGAAAUAGCUUUCUGAAUUUUACAAUCUGGAAGCAUUUUUACCCUUUCAUGCAUGAAUUAUGACAACCUCAGUCAGGAUUUUUAUUCAUCUUUAGGCAUGAAAACAUG